rnacentral:rRNA from 1 species
GACGAACGCUGGCGGCGUGCUUAACACAUGCAAGUCGAACGGUGACGAAUGGAGCUUGCUCUGUUCUGAUCAGUGGCGAACGGGUGAGUAACACGUGAGUAACCUGCCCCUGACUCUGGAAUAACUUCGGGAAACCGAAGCUAAUACCGGAUAUGACACAGAGCUGCAUGGUUUCUGUGUGGAAAGUUUUUCGGUUGGGGAUGGACUCGCGGCCUAUCAGCUUGUUGGUGAGGUAAUGGCUCACCAGGGCGACGACGGGUAGCCGGCCUGAGAGGGCGAUCGGCCACACUGGGACUGAGACACGGCCCAGACUCCUACGGGAGGCAGCAGUGGGGAAUAUUGCACAAUGGGCGAAAGCCUGAUGCAGCGACGCCGCGUGAGGGAUGAAGGCCUUCGGGUUGUAAACCUCUUUCAGUAGGGAAGAAGCGCAAGUGACGGUACCUACAGAAGAAGCACCGGCUAACUACGUGCCAGCAGCCGCCGCGGUAA